CCGACAGUGCUGUGAGAGUGAGUGACUGCUCCAGUGGUCUCGCCACCGAGGCCCGGCUCCGGGGGACUGGCUCAGCUGGCUUCUCCUGGCUGCCCUGUCCUGCCUGGGGCCCCGGGCUCUCCUCACCCGGCAGCUUUCCUGCUACCAAGAUGUCAUUGCCACGGACAGUGACCUCCGGGCCGGAGCUGCACAGCCCUGAGGGGGCUGCGAAGAAGCUGCAGACCCCACCAGUGCGGGGUACUUGGCGGACAAGCAGUGAAGGCACGCCCAGCACCCACCGUGAGGACACUCGGCCCGGCCUGGGCACCCUGCGGUGGGCUUUCUCCCGGACAAGCCAGCGGGCCUCAGGCCAGGCCCUCGAGGAGGACCUGGGCCUGUUCCAGCGCAGCUCCCGCUUCCUGUUCCGGUCCUUACGGCGUGCCCAGGAUAAUGGCUCCCCUGCCCGCCAGCCCCAGGCCACUGCUGUGCCAGGGGUGACCCAUGGCCCAGAGGUGCCCUCUAGGGUCAUGGAUGGUGGCCGCCGGCAGUCCUCCGCUGGGGUGGGGCCUGAGGAACUGGAACCUGAGGCAGGCAAAUCUGUGGCCGAUCUCAUCACCGAGCGGCAGCUGCUGCGGGCCUUCGAACAGCUGCGGCAGCUGGAGGUGCGGCUCGUGGCCGAGAAGGCCUCGCACACCUUCGAGGAGGACCCCACCGGCUUCGCGCGGCGCGCCAUGGACGUGUGCCUGCACUACGACGGGCUGGCGGCUGAGAUCGGCGCCAUCGUGCGCGAGACGCUGGGCCCGGACGGCGUGGACGCGGCGGCGCUGGGCGACCUGGCCCGCGUGGUGCGCGCGGAGGAGGCGGCCCACCCGGUGCCCCCGGCCGACGGCGACUUCCUGCUCACCCCGCGCCGCUGGCGCCAGCACUGGGAGGACGCGGUGAGGCGCAGCGCGCAGGAGCGCGUGCAGCAGGCGGGCGCCGGGGAGGCUCGGGGGGCAGCCGAGGCGGAGGGCGCAUCGGGCCUGGCCCAGCUUCUGGCCGAGCUCGGCGGCUUGGUUCGCAGCGACCUGCACAAGGUGCGGCAGGAGGUGCAGCCGGCUUACUCGGCCGCCGGCCUCCCGGCGUGGGAGGCUUACCUGCGCGCCUUCCACGGCGCGGUGGCCCAGCGCCUGCAGGAGCUCGCACAGGACGCCCGGGGCUGCGAGCAGCUCUAUGUCCUGUUGGACUGGGCGGCCAAUGUCUAUGGCAGUCCUGACUUCCUGGGUGCCCCGGACCUGACUCUGUCCACAGAGCCACUACCCCCACUCCUGGCACCUGCCUUGUGGGCCCGCCUGCAGAGUGACUACACCAGCUUCCUAGAGACCAAGAUCACGAGCUGCUUCGAUAGCAUCCUGCAGCUAGAACAGAGCCGUUGGGCGGACGCUGAGGCCCCCGAUGUGCUACAAGGCCUCUACCACACGCCGCUGUCCAUUGAUGUCCACAUGCUCGUGGCAGAGCACGUGAAGGCGGCCGGUGCCAUCUCUGCGGAACUGGAGGCCACCACCCUGUGCAUCUGCACGCGGGCGCUCAGCCUCUUCUUGCCCAGGUUUGAAAAGGCUUUUCUAGAGUCGAAGGCAGUGAACGAGCCUCAUCUGGGCGCCAAUAUCAACGCCUGCGAGGAGCUCAGGACCCAUCUUCUGGCCAGGUUCCCAGGAACCUUUGAAGAGCUGGAGAAACCUCUAGUGGCUGCCACCUGCACCUUCCAGAAGCGGCUGCUCCGGGGCCUGCAGUGUGAUGUGCAACCGCUUUUCAGGGUCCUGUGCACCAAGGCCUGGCUGACACAGGACGUGCUGCAGCCGAUCAUGGACAAGGUGGUGGCCUUUGCCCGCCAUUUGGAGCACGUGGCCCCACUGCGGGCACAGGAGACUCUGCAGGAGGUGCACCGGUACGUGGUCCGUGAGUACCUGGCCCAGGUGCUGAGGCCGCGUGAACGGUUCCGGGGUGAGGAGCGCAUGACUGGCUCCCAGAAGAUGGGCCUCGACGCCCAGGCCAUUGGCGACACCUUCCAGGGCUUGGGCUCUGAGGCCACGUGGCUGGACCAGGCUAUCCCGUGUGUGGCUGACAUCCUGGGUGAGACUUACAAAGAUGACAUCCGGAGGCACCUGGAGACACUCAUCGGGAGCUACCCUGACAUCAGGUUUGUUACCCACCUGCUCCCUCACUGGGCUCCGAGGACAGAGCGCUGCCAGGCCCGGGGGCAGGGGGGCAGGCAGGGAGCCUCCAGAGGGUCCCUGUGGUUCUAGGUGGGCAGGUGAGGAACCGCAGGGAGGCACAGCUUGUUCCAGUGGGGAGGGGAGCCACGGUGCAGGCGGGGUGGCCCCCCCAAGCGGGCUACUGUGCGCAUGUGUGUGGAGGCCCGGGGACCGCGGCCCCUGACCUUCAGGCCGGGGUGGGGGUGGGGCGGAGGAGCGGGGGCUGCCCCUCCUUCAGAAGCUAUUCUUGGCCAUUCUCCUUCAGUGCUGUGGGGCGGGGAGGGCCCUAGAGCCUGGGGGGGGUCGGGGUCUGGGCCGGGGCCCCUUCCUGGUCAUCAGGCGUGGAGACAAGUACCCGCAUCCGCGCGUCUGGAGGGGAGGGGCAGCCCUCUCUGCGAGAAAGCCCUAUUGGGAGCCCGACUCCUGACACCGGCCAGGAGGAAGGAGGCUUUGACCCCCGGGAGUGUGUUGGGGGGACUGGCGGGACCACGUGCUGGCCAUUCUGGCUCUGCGCAGACUGGGCCACCGGCGGAACCAGCGCCUCCUGCAGCAUGCCCAGUACCUGCUGAGGUCUGCGGCCAAGGCGGGCGGCCCUGCGGCUGCUGGGGGCCACGU